AUGACGGUGGCCGCCGCACGCUGCCUCAUUCUCACCCCCACAAUCUCCUCCUCCUCCGCCGUUCUCCGGCUCCCCCGGAUCGCCCGCCGCCGCCCGCUCUCCUGCUCGGCCUCGCCGCUCGCCGUGUUCGCCACCAUGGAGUCGCCGCCCGAGGGCUACCGCACCAACGUCGGCAUCUGCCUCGCCGACCCCACCCUCACCAAGAUCUUCUCCGCGUCCAGGAUCGACAUCCCCACGGCGUGGCAGAUGCCUCAGGGUGGGAUAGACCCAGGGGAAGAGCCACGAGCAGCUGCCAUCAGGGAAUUGAGGGAAGAAACCGGUGUUAGAUCUGCCGAGGUUGUCGCCGAGGCCCCCAAUUGGUUGAAAUAUGAUUUCCCCGCGGAUGUCAAAGACAAGCUGAAUGCUAGGUGGGGAACCAACUGGAAGGGCCAGGCUCAGAAGUGGUUUCUAUUUAGGCUUACGGGGGGUGAUGACGAGAUCAACCUGAUGGGCGAUGGAUCCGAGAAGCCGGAGUUCUCCGAGUGGGCAUGGAUGACCCCUCAGCAAGUGAUUGAGAAGGCUGUUGAUUUCAAGAAACCUGUCUACAAGGAGACACUGAAGCACUUCGCCCCAUAUCUACAGUCAGAUCCAACAGCUUCGUCAUAG
rnacentral:rRNA from 1 species